UACAGAGGGUGCGAGCGUUAAUCGGAAUUAUUGGGCGUAAAGGGCGCGCAGGCGGUUUCGUAAGUGAGAUGUGAAAUACCCGGGCUUAACCUGGGACGUGCAUUUCAGACUGCGGAGCUGGAGUACUGUAGAGGGCAGUGGAAUUUCCGGUGUAGCGGUGAAAUGCGUAGAGAUCGGAAGGAACACCAGUGGCGAAGGCGACUGUCUGGACAGAUACUGACGCUGAGGCGCGAGAGCGUGGGGAGCAAACAGG
rnacentral:rRNA from 1 species